rfam:Panulirus interruptus potassium channel protein Shal 1.i (shal1) mRNA, complete cds, alternatively spliced.
UUAGGAUACGGCGACAUGGUUCCCCACACGCCCACGGGUAAGAUUGUGGGUGGCGUGUGUUCGCUAUCCGGUGUGUUGGUUAUCGCGCUCCCUGUACCUGUUAUCGUCUCCAAC